GAUGAAGAACGUAGCGAAAUGCGAUAAGUAAUGUGAAUUGCAGAAUUCAGUGAAUCAUCGAAUCUUUGAACGCACAUUGCGCCCAUUAGUAUUCUAGUGGGCAUGCCUGUUCGAGCGUCAUUAAUUCCACUUAAGCCCUGCUUAGUGUUGGGAAUCUACUCUAGUCGUGCUACCCUGGAGCUACCCCUGAAAGGGGGCUGGCCCGGUAGCUACCCUGUAGUUCCUCAAAGAUAGUGCGCGGAGUUGCGUGGUCCUCUGAGCUUAGUAACUAUACACCUAGCUUUUGAGUGUCCCGCGGCGCCUGCCGUUUAAACCCCAUCUUUUAAUGGUUGACCUCGGAUCAGGUAGGAAUACCCGCUGAACUUAAGCAUAUCAAUAAGCGGAGGA
rnacentral:misc_RNA from 1 species